UACAGAGGGGGCAAGCGUUGUUCGGAAUUACUGGGCGUAAAGGGCGCGUAGGCGGCCUUCUAAGUCGAACGUGAAAUCCCCGGGCUCAACCCGGGAACUGCGUCCGAUACUGGAAGGCUUGAAUCCGGGAGAGGGAUGCGGAAUUCCAGGUGUAGCGGUGAAAUGCGUAGAUAUCGGGAGGAACACCGGUGGCGAAGGCGGCGACCUGGGUAGAUACUGACGCUGAGGUGCGAAAGCGUGGGGAGCAAACAGG
rnacentral:rRNA from 1 species